GCAGUAACUGAGAUGACACAUUUUGCAUAAAGUGCCUCAACAGGGCCCCAGUGGAAACUUGACAGUCACUUUCAGACGCGGUCAGCUGCAUUCAUAUUUAGCCAUAAUUCACACAGAAGAAGAGGAAAUUUGGACAAAGACAGAGGGACAGCCCAGUGAGAAGAAGGCCAUCUGCAAGCCGAGGAAAAAGGCCUCAGAGGAAACCAAACUGCUGACACCUUGAUCUUGGACUUCCAGCUUCCA